UUAUUUUUACAUAUAGAUAGAUGUAAUUGAAAUAUAUCAAGAAAUUUUUCGAUGCAUUUAGCACAUAAAAUCCUCCAAAAAAUAAGGAAAACAGUUAAAUAAUAUAACAUGAAGGAUUCAACAAAAACAACCAACAAGGAACAUCACAUUAUUCUUGGAUAACGGCAAUAAUUGUAUCAUUACUGAUUAUCAUCAGUUCUUCAUGGCGCAUCUCUCUAUGCAGGUAUUGACGCAGCCGACAACUUCCUUUGAAGCUGACAAAAACAAAACAAAUCAUUAAGUUAAUAUACGUACUUACUUACCAUCAAAUAUUAAUAUAAAACGGAAAAAGAAAAAUUACCAGGCAUCCUCCCUUGGCUGCUUAGCAUUGAACAUGUCAUGGCAGCACACCCAACAGUGCAGAAUACGGAGCUGCUCGCGAGGUGGGUUUCCUCCAAUGUCUCCACCAGUGCUUCUGACGGCAGGCAGCGUUGAAUACAUUCCCCAAGGGAAGUUCCGUUGGCGACGCAAGUCGUUACGCAAAAAGUAUACCCAAGUCCAAUCGGGACAAGUGCUGUAACAGCUUGACGCGAGGGACUAACAAGGAUCAACAACAGCAAACAGAACAUCAACGCCAAUGAUUUCCCCCCCAUUAUGUAUAUAUUUGAUUUGAUUUGAUAAUGAUUUUUUUGCACUGCUUGAUAUCGGUGUUAUAUACACUUUGAUUGUCAUGCCAAACUACCAAACUGCCUAAUUAAGAUGCCAAACUAUAAUGCCAAAAUUUGAUUGAAUGCAAAAUUAAAAGAACAUUUCUAUAAGUAAUCAAAAUAAUUUGAAAUGAAUUUGUCAUGCCAAACUACAUGGAAAAUGUCUAAUGUCUUGUCCUUUUUUUAGAAUUCUUCCUAAUAAUCUAAAUUCUUCCUAACCAUCCCAAAUAUUCUGAUUGUCAAUGUUCUUUCUCAGAUGUCAUGAAUCACAAAUGAACACUAAACCUUUAACUUCAUAUUUUAAACAUUAACAUCGAAGUAAACACUUAAACCGUGCAAAUAAAAUCUUGAUUCUCACCUUCACAGUGACUGUAUCCAUCUCCUUUGAUUUGCUCGCUAUCAACCAAGAGACAUUCACAAACUCUUCCUCGAAAUGUAUCUUAAGAAGAAAAUCAAUAUAUUCAAAUAAGCUCAUGGAGUAGAGAAUCCCUAUCAAAUCUGUUUCGAUUCAUACCCUGCAGGCUGUGAGAUUUGCUGCUUUUUCUUGCCAACAACCACCAUCAUUUUCCAAGCAUUCAUUCGUCUCCACAUCUGUGAAAAAAGUAACCGCCAUCACUGGUGUUUCAAAUAACAACUGGACAGUAAGUUGAAACACUACACUGGAUUUCUAAAAGCCUAGCUCUCGCCUAUGUUACUUAGUGUGAGAGUUGGAUAAGACAUAUGUCUGACAUGGACAUGUGCAAGUUGUUCUUCAUUUUCCCUGUAUUCAGAGUGUUUUUGGAGGGUCACAUCCCCAUACUCGUCUAUGAAAACGUGUCAGACACGGGUUCUCAAGAGAGGUAAAGAGUCAGCACCCCUAAGUGGAACCAGACUAAAAUACUUCUCUUGCAAGAAAAAUAAAACAAGACAAACUCACCACCACUCGAACAAACAGCUGGUUCAGUAGUCUCCUCGAAGCCGGCACAUAUGGCCUUCAAAACAGCACCUUUGGCCAGCUUUCCUGCAUGCAGAUAUGUUAAACGCGGAAAGCACCCAAAAUUUUAUCUGGGAAAUACGGGUAUAAAUACGAACCUCGAUAUUGGCGAUUGUUGACAACAAGUCUAGGCAAUAUGGUAACAUCUCCUCUAGAUCCUUUCCCCGCCUAUGAAAAUGUUUCUAUUAAAUAGCCUCAAAAAGGUCAAAGAAGACAACGAAUUGGAAAAAGAGUAGUGAAACAUAAAAUAUCUUAGCCUGAGAGGACUACUUGAGCAUCUUGUUCUUCUUCCAGAACAGGAUUCUCCAUAUCAGCAUCUGGAUCUCCCAAACACUUUUCGAUCUUUUUAGCGUCAAGCCCUGAAUGGAUGACAAAGGAAUAUCAUCAAUUUAUUACUAGUUUCCAGCAAGAUUUUGAGUUUUCACUGUGCUAUUAAUACUAACAGAAAUUUGAAGAUAAACCGAGGAUCUUCCAAUUAACUGUUUACCAAGAGAUUUGAUAACACCGUCUGCACAUUCCUUAUUAUAUCUUUUCUACUUCAUUGGCCAUCUUAUUUCAAAAUCAGUCACAUAGUCCCACCACACCCAAGGCCUAUUGGUCUCAUUUGCCACUUUGAAAACGCAAAGCUGCCUUAAGGUCUCAAUAACUACAUCUUUCCCUUCAUAACCUGAGCUAAAACCUUGUUCAGGAUCCGGUGCACAGUAUCUUCCGCGGUUGAUGCAUUGAGAUAUGCACUGCCGGCUUAGGGUGAAAGCUUGAGGGCAGUACCAAGUUAUAUAAUGGGGUGUGAACUGCGUAUAGCCACCUUUUUCGAGAAUCUUAGCAGCACCCUUGAAAUCCUUCACAAAUGCCAUCAGCAUAUCGCAUUUAACUCCACAUUCAUCAUUGCUCUUGGUCCAUAACUCGUACUCGUCACGAUCAUCAGGGUUAGAGUUUCACCAGAAGUUUUCUCGAUAAGGGCAGAUGAACUGUCCUCUUCGCGAUUGUCCCUGGUUAUUAAUGCUUCUUCUAUGUCAUCCGCAACAAGCACUGCAGAAGCACUGCUUGCCAUACAUUCCAAAUCUUUAAAGCAAAGAAGCAAUCUGGAGAAAUAAUAAGAAAAAAGGCGCUAAAUGCAGUCUCCGCAAAUAUAUAUAUAUAUCAAAAACUAAAGAAAAAUUACAUCUAAGACCAUAACUCAAUCAAGGACAAUAAGCAAAUUUUACAACCUUGGCAGCAACUGGAGUCCGUAUAUAGGCAACACUUCAGAUUUUUCUCAUCUCUUUAACAGUGUAAUCACAUUAUAGUAAUGUAACUGAAUUAUCUAAUCCGGAAGUAACUAUAAGCCAUUACUACCUAAUGCUUAGAUCAACCAGCAUUCUGAACCUCAUUUUUAUCACCAUACAUCUGUUUGAGAACCAACCAAACUCAAAUCGUACACUCUAAAUCUAUGUUCACUCGGACUCGGGUAUGAGUUUCAAAUGUAGGCACAUGUUUGAGACGGAUAUGUUAGUUUUGGUUUUUCAUGUAUCUGGAGGAUCUUUGAAAAGUCAUGUGUCGCCCAUAUGCAUGUUCGGAUAUUGAGUCUAGAACGGGUACUUCAGACGGAUAUCCAGAGGAUCAUUAACAGCAUAAUCGCGUUGCAGUAAUGUAACUGAAUUAUCUAAUCCGGAGGUAACUAUAAGCCAUUACUACGAAAUGCUUAGAUCACCAUUAUUUUGAAACUCGUUUUUAUUAUCAUCCAUCUGUUUAAGAACCAACCAAACUCAAAUCAUACACUCUAAAUCUCUGUUUACUCCGACUUGGGUAUGAGUUUCAAAUAAAGGUAUGUGUUUGACACUGAUAUAUUCAAUUUUUCUUCAUGUACCUAGGGGAUCUUUGAGAAGACAUAUCACCGCACACAUGUUCAGAUAUUGAGUCCAAAACCGGUACUUCAAGCAAAACUGAGACUCAGAGAAACUUAGCUCUAAACCACUUUAUCCAUACUGGAGAAAACUAUACGCCAUUACUACGAAAUUCUUAGAUAACCAGCAUUUUGAAAUUCAUUUUUAUUAUCAUACAUCUGCCUUGAGAACCAACCCAACCCAAAGCAUAUAUGUUCACUUGGACUCUGGGUGUGAGUUUCAAAUACAGGUAUGUGUUUGACACGGAUAUAUUCAAAUUUUUGUUCAUGUACCUAGAAGGAUCUUUGAAAAAUCAGAUCACCGUACACAUGUUCGGAUAUUGAGUCUAAAACUGGUACUUAAAGCAAAACCAAGAAUCUGAGAAACUUAGCUCUACUUUUGUAGACACCUCUAAGGCUACAUCCCUAUGAAAGGAGGGAAAUGAAGCUAAAUGAAUGGACCUAAUUUCAGAAAACAACUAGUAAGAUAAAAAGAGAGAAAGACAUCCGUCCAAACAACUUAAAGCAAAGCUGAAAACAAGUAAAUUAAUUCAUAAAUGAACGGAUAAAUAUAUAAAUAAUGAUAAUGAAAUCAAUGGAAACUGAUAAACCUAAAUUUAUUUAAAUGAAUUAGUUAAAAUAUAAUAACAUAAAUCCAAGUAGAUGGAAAAACCAAAUCUAUUAACCCUCAAAUCCCAAACUAUCAAAUAGAUUAUUGCCCCAUAAAUAAACCAAAUCCAACAAAUUGAACUUUAAACCUACUAUUUAAAUUCCCCAAUUUGGAAUUACUCAAAUUAGCUAAAACAACACAAAAAUUCCUCAUUGAUCAACCCUACAACAAACAAAUUAUAGCUCAAAUAAACAAAACCAUAGAUUAAUUUUUCUUAGAAGGCGAAAAUUUUGAAAAAAAGAAGAAGAAAAGUGUACCUCCACGAUCGACCAGAACAUAGGUAGGAAGAGAACCAGGCUUGGAUAUAACCGAAAUCCCAAAGUCAUCAAAACCUUUACAAGCUUUUCGGUUUUCUUCAGGGUAAACCACAACACCAGCCAUGCUUCCACCACAUUGAGGUAUCCCAAAGUUCCCAAUCGCACUAUCAUGGGUUGCUUUAAUCUUCUCCGGCGAUGUUACCGCCAAGCUCUUCUUUUCCACCACGAAUCUCGCGUAACAAUUGCGUAUCAAAGAUAAUAAAAUAAACACUUGAGGAAGAUGAUGAUGAUGGAAUGUUCGUAGCUCCAUAUCUUUACUUUUGGUUUUGGAUUUGGAUUGGAUCAGUUUUAAGGACGAUACUGAUGAAGAAGAUGAAGAUCGUGUAUGAAAAACAUGUAAAAUGAAAUGGUUUUUUUGAAAAAAAUAAAAACAGUGAAAAUCGCCAUUAAAUAAUUCUAUGAUUCUUUUAUUUGUUUUAAAUGAAUUUAGAACACAGUUAGUGAAAUUUUGACACGCUACUAAUAAAUAAUCUUAGUCAUUUAUAGAUUAAACAUUUUUCUUUUUUUUAAACAGUGCAAUGAGACCAAAUCCAGUCAUCUGAAGUAAACUUAAUGGGUUUAUGUUUUUCUUAGCCCCCAAAUUUUCACCUACCGUGUAAUUUAGUACAUGUUAAAAAAAUCCAAUUUAGUCAUUUGUAUUAUACGUGACGGUCUUCUACAUAUACGAAGUCGUUUAAGUUUCGUUCCGGUGAAGAUUUCAAUAUGCUUCGCAUGUUCCAAAGUCCUUUGGCCCAUUCUAGCCAGUAUCGGCCCGUAUCAAUUGGUACAAAAUUUUGAUAUUUAAACUUAUCUUUUAAUUUUUUAUCUUAAACAUUUUAACUUUUUAUAACUACGUUUAAAAUUAAAAUAAACUGAAGCUAUUGAACCAAUUAAUAGAUUUAAAACUUAUUUUUACAUAUAGAUAGAUGUCAUUGAAAUAUAUCAAGAAAAUUUUCGGUGCAUUUAGCACAUAAAAUCCUCCAAAAAUAAGGAAAACAGUUAAAUAAUAUAACAUGAAGGAUUCAACAAAAACAACAAAGGAACAUCACAUUAUUCUUGGAUAACGGCAAUAAUUGUAUCAUUACUGAUUAUCAUCAGUUCUUCAUGGCGCAUCUCUCUAUGCAGGUAUUGACGCAGCCGACAACUUCCUUUGAAGCUGACAAAAACAAAACAAAUCAUUAAGUUAAUAUACGUACUUACUUACCAUCAAAUAUUAAUAUAAAACGGAAAAAGAAAAAUUACCAGGCAUCCUCCCUUGGCUGCUUAGCAUUGAACAUGUCAUGGCAGCAC
rnacentral:lncRNA from 1 species